AUCAUCAAGAGCAACUGAGGGACUGGCCCAAUGAGGUUGCGGCAACCAUUCUUGUGAAAAGGUGCCAAGUCCAGCGAAUUGUUUUGAUUCGAAAGAUGAU
rnacentral:ncRNA from 1 species